GACGAACGCUGGCGGCGUGCCUAAUACAUGCAAGUCGAGCGAAGCGGGGACGGGUGAGUAACACGUGGAAACCCUCCUAUAAGUACCGGAUAACUUCGGGAAACCGGAGCUAAACCGGAUACUCAUAUAUCGAUCCGCGGUGCACUAGCUAGUUGGUAAGGUAAUGGCUUACUAAGGCAACGAUGCAUAGCCGACCUGAGAGGGUGAUCGGCCACACUGGAACUGAGACACGGUCCAGACUCCUACGGGAGGCAGCAGUAGGGAAUCUUCCGCAAUGGGCGAAAGCCUGACGGAGCAACGCCGCGUGAGUGAUGAAGGUCUUCGGAUCGUAAAACUCUGUUGUUAGGGAAGCGGUACCUAAUCAGAAAGCCACGGCUAACUACGUGCCAGCAGCCGCGGUAAUAC
rnacentral:rRNA from 1 species